UACAGAGGUCUCGAGCGUUAGGCGGAAUCACUGGGCUUAAAGCGUGUGUAGGUGGAUCGUUAAGUACCUUGUGAAAUCCCUCGGCUCAACUGAGGAACUGCCUUCGAUACUGUUCGGCUUGAGUCCUGGAGAGGGUAGCGGAAUUCCCGGUGUAGCGGUGAAAUGCGUAGAGACCGGGAAGAACACCAGUGGCGAAGGCGGCUACCUGGACAGGUACUGACGCUGAAGCGCGAAAGCUAGGGGAGCAAACAGG
rnacentral:rRNA from 1 species